rnacentral:tRNA from 1 species
GAGCCGUUAGCUCAGCCGGUAGAGCAACUGCCUUUUAAGCCGUAGGUCGUGGGUUCAAGUCCCACACGGCUCACCA